rnacentral:tRNA from 1 species
GCCUGACUGGCUCAGCUGGUAGAGCAUGUGACUCUAAAUCUCAGGAUCCUGAGUUCAAGCCCCACAUCGGGCA